AGCAAAAUACAACAUGCAUUUCUGUGGGUUCACUUUGCUCUCUUUGAGCUACACAUUUUCUCCAGUUAUCAAGUUAUAUGGUAUCACUUUCAAGUUAUGAGUGUGCUUUUACACAGAUCAUUUGGUUUUCACGGUGUGCUCAGAAGAGGAAAGGUGAUGUUUUCUCCAUCCUCCCGUGCCUCGGCUGACUGGGGAGCCUGCCUUCCUCUAAGCUGCCUCCGCCAUGGCAUGGCCACAUUGUGUGGUGUGCAUUCUUGUGAGCUGCCUCAAAUCCUUGGCAGAACAGAGCAAGGGAUAAAUGUCUACAUUUUACAAAUGAUGACAGAGACUAGGAGAAGCUGAGUUGCCUCAGGCCAAACAGCUGCUAAGGCAUUUAUACCCUGCCGUUCUGACUCUGACUUCAAAGAGAGCAAUCAUUUUAUCCUGUGGUUGUAAACUAUGCCAGAGACCCGAAACAUCACAAGUGUGUGUCUAUGUGUGGGUGUUCUGGGAGGUACAUCCUACAACAACAAGAACAUACAACAGUUCUGCAGUAACUGCCCACUUAAAAAUGAUUUGGAUGGUAAAUUAUGUUUUGUAUUUUUACCACAACGAAAAUCAAAUCAAAUCAAAACCAAUCUAAGCAAUCAGUAUUCGCUCAGUAUCAUCUUUAUAGUUUUGAAAUAUAACUCAAAUGAGGGUGCUUCUACUGUUAUAGCAACAGCUCUUUGCAUCAGCCAGGCAUAGUAGAACACUGUAACUCCAGCAUCUGGGAGGCAGAGGCAGAAGAAUCCUGAGUUCAAGACCAACCUGAACUAACAGCAAGACCCUGUCUUCAAACAAAGAAAAAAUACAUCUUCGUAUCUCAGCGAAUAAACAUGAGAACUCAACCUCACCUUUCUAAUAUCUGCUCUGAAGACUCUCAGCAGAAGCUCACUUCCUGAAAAUUUUCUAACAAUGAUGCUAAUUUUAAAGAGUACAUUGCUGAACUCUGCCCGCCUUUAUCCUUCCUUCCCGUUCAUGGUGUUUACACUGGUGCCCAGGACUCCUUAAAGAGCACCUCAUUAUUUCAGAAUUACUAAAGGUUAGCUGGAUAAUUGCCAUGGCCUUCACAGACUGUCUCAUUGACCAGGACUCCUAGCAACAAAGGAAAGGGUUAAAGGUGGUUAAGAUCAUUUACUUGGUGUUACUAAUCAGUUCCAUGAAUUCCCCCAAAACUCAGCACAAACCGGAUGGUUGCUUUGGAGGGUAAUCUAAGCCUGAUUUACCAAAUAUUUUAAUAAUUAGAGUCAGGAAAUAAUACUACCUUAAAACUAGCCAUCUGUUAAAUAUAGUACGGCUCCUUCUUGCAGGGAAUUAAAACUUCUCUAUUUUAAAAUGUCUUGAAGAGAGCAAUUUGGCAAGUAGACUAUUAUUUCUAGAAAGUUCUUAGAGCAGCUUCUGCUGGAUAAAAUAGUUAAUAAAUGUGCCUGGAUGCAAAUCCCAACAGGCUGAGUAGAGUCCUUAAAAGAACAAGCAAGUUGCCACAACAUUUCCUCCAAAUUGCUACCAACCUGCCCACCCAAAGUCAUUUCUGUAAAUCAAAAUAGCAAUAAAUUAGAAAAUGGAGAGCCAAUAUCUUUCAAGGAGCUUGGAUUUUGACAUCUAUCCAUCGGUACUCUUUUGGAAUCAUUACAUAGCUUGAAAUACCUUUAAGUAUAAAAAGUAUGCAUUAAAAUCCCCUCUAGCUAAGCAGAGAUUAUACAGGGUAAAUACCAUGCGUUGCUAUAGUCUGCAGACGGUCUUCUGCACAGCCCUUGAGCCCACCACAUCAUGUAGCCUGGGCAUCACGUACCUGGUUCUGGCUGAGGAGAGCCGUCAAUGGGACUGUCAGACAUGGUUACUCAAGUCAAAGCCUUAUGCGGAGUUUUAAAUUUUAUAAAAAAGGAAGGCUUGGACAACUCUGUUAGUCUGUCCUCUCAAGAAAGAACUCGGCUUUAAGAAUGGGGCUUCUGCUUCCUGGGCUCCUCUCAGACUCUGCAGGACACAGAUCACCCCAGCUCAGGUACACGAUCGAGUUGUGCUUCUCUAGUGAGUGGAGGGGCUGAGUCAGCCUCUCUCGAGUUACUGGAAGGACAGAGACCUGACUAUCUAGGAUGUUUCACACUGGGUCCAACUAGUGUCAUCUAACCACCAGGCCCCAAGAGUGGGCUUUGUUAAUGGUCAAUAGCAGAGAGCAUCGUUUUCUCCAGGUACAGCCCAAAGAAUGUUCCGGUUACAAAGGACUCCGCAUUUCCAGGGUUCUGUCAAAGCAAGUUACUAGCAAAGAAAAGGAAGUUGAACUCACAGAGGAAGACAAAUCAAAAAGAGUAACAGAACAAGGUUUGUGAUUUCACAGUGUGGCAUCUGAGGUGAGGACUGCAAAGAGCUGGGUCUAGGAUGUCAAGAAACAAGGCAGCAUUCUCCUCCCUCCAGACCCUAGAGAACACUUGCAACAGAAAAUGAGGGGGAAUGUAGGUGCCAAACCUGAAUCUAAAGUGCUUUUGUCGGGAUGAACACAAAGCAUCAGGGGGAGGUGACUUCUAAGGGAGGAAGGAGGGGGGGAAUAUGUUCAAGGGUUCGAUUCCAAGAAUGGUUCUUUGCAGGACACAGUCUCCAUUUAAAGUCAGAGACUCUGAAAACCACAUUGUACUCAUAAGAAAUGUUUUAAAACAAGGUUUAGCUGAUCUGAGUGCAACAGGCCAUUUCUUAUGGGACAACUUCCUGGUAAGGACAUGUGAGCUCACAUCUAGCUUCAGAUGAAAGGAGCUGAAGGAGCACACAAGCCCCUGACAGAAGCAGGCCAGCUGGGUGCUGCCUGCCUCACGUGCACCGAGAAUGACGGCAGGGCAGUGUCGAAUUGUAAUUUCCCUUCCAAGAAGAUGCAUGUUAGCAGAGCCAACUCCUGAACUGAGCCUUUCGCUCCUCUCCAGGUAUGGAGAAGACAGUGGAGAGUUUCCACAGGGCUUCAGUUGGAGAGAGGAGACACUGAGGACUGCCCCCAGGCCCUGUGACCGACUCAGAGACACUAAAAAACGUUGGCUGGGUGGAACAGACUACAAAACUCUGCUGUCUUAAAAGUCCUUAGGCACUGAGGAUUGAACCCAGAGCUUCUCACAUGCCAGGAGACUCUCAGCCCCACCAUCUGUCACUUCAAUUACCUGAAAGGGAAGGACAACCCCUCCUCUUAACACUGAGCACCACUCCUCUGCUACAACUUGCAUGCACUAAGCGGACCUGCCCUCAGAAAAAAUGGGGGAAAACCCGUUUCUCAUUGUGAUCUGUAAUGGCUGCCUAGAAGAGCAAGCCACUGUGAUGUCAGUUUCAAUACCUUCCCAAGACAAAGAUGGUGAAAGAAUGGAAUACAAUCAUGGAGAAAGACUUAGGUGGCGUUUCCAGAGGCAGACAAUAUCAUGAAAAAUUAAAUAGUGAACUAAGUCCAGCAAAAUCUCUCUCUCUCUCUCUCUCUCUCUCUGUCUCUCUCUCUCUCUCUCUCUCUCUCACACACACACACACACACACACACACACACACUGUUUCACUUAUCUUACGCUGAGGGACUGUUCCCCCCCAGUCUAUAUUUUUAUCAUUUCUAUACCCUAUUUCCUGUUUUUUACUUUUGUUUUGUUUCUUAGCAGAGUUUCUUUUCAAAAAUUCCAGGCUGGUCUCUGCUGAACCAUGGAGAUUUGUCCAUACCUAAGCCAAAAUAGCUGAGAAGUGAGGGUGCCUCUGGGGAGCAGGUGUGGUGGGGCGGGAUGGUGCGGGAAGGGAGUGUGGACAGCUGCAGCUGCUGAGGCCUCCCCGCCCCCGGUUUUCCCUUACAUGGACUAAUGAGAAAUCCAUAUGCUGCCGGAGAAAAAUGUCAGGUUUCUUUCCAGACUUCUCGUUUCAGUUCACUUUCUCAGCCUGAUCUGGGACCCAAGUCGACAUUAAGCUCUGUGUGCUGCUUUGCCAGCAGAGUACCGCAGGCUCUAAAGAGGAGGCACACUUUCCUCCUGAAAACUCCUGCCUUGGAGAUGGCGGCUUCUUGACCUACUGACCAACUAACUGGCUUUGUUUGCAGGACAUACACAGGCUGGAAUGGUGGGGACUGAAAGUGCUGUGAGCAGAAGCUGUUUCAAAGAAGACUAGCCGUUCCUUCCACAAAGACUUAGUACAAGUCAUUCCAAGGACAUCUAUUCCUUGCCUAGUAGAAGUAGGUCCCUAUGUGGGACACAGAGGUAAAAACAGGCCUGGCUAUCAGCUCUUGCUCCCUGCCUGCCGAUAUAUAGGUGUCAACGUGAUGAACAGAGGGGGAUGGGAACUCAAGAGCAGUCCCUUAACAAGACCAAGGGUCAAGAACUGCCUCCUAGAAGGUAUCUGCUAAACCAAAUUCUGAAGGUCGUGGAGAUUAGUCAAGUGUCAAAAGUAGCAGUGGGCCCUCUAAGGCCCUGACAUACACAAGAGCAUGAAAACAACGUGCAGGUGACUUCUCAAGGAAUCUAGUGGUCAGUGGAAGGCAUGGGUACUGUGGGCUAUGAGAAAACAAAUGCCAUUGGAGAGCAGAGCCAGGGCGGGCAUCACAAAGGGCCUUUUAUCCAAAACACCUAAGGCACUUGCAUGGUGUCCUGUCAAUCAGUAGACUCUAAUAGAUGCGAUUUCACCAGCUCUGUGCCCAGGGACAUUUAUCAAGGUCUGGAGACAUUUUGGGUUGUCACAACAGAGUACUAGGGUGUACCCCUAGCAUUUCCUAGAAGAGACAAGAGACACUGGUCAACAUCCUAUAUCACUGAGCCAGUCCAGAUGUCAACAGUGUGGAACUUGAGGAGCCCAAGAGAAGAUGAUGGGAGGCCACUGAAGGAUUAGGAAGGAGUGGUGAGAUCUUAUUUAUCUUUUGGGAUGAUUGAUCUGCACAAUAUGGAGAAUAUGAUCAUAGUCAAGAAAAGAGGUAUAAUGCCGGGGCCUAGCAAACACAGAAGUGGAUGCUCACAGUCAGCUAUUGGAUGGAUCACAGGGCCCCCAAUGGAGGAGCUAGAGAAAGUACCCAAGGAGCUAAAGGGAUCUGCAACCCUAUAGGUGGAACAACAAUAUGAACUAACCAGUACCCCCCGGAGCUUGUGUCUCUAACUGCAUAUGUAUCAGAAGAUGGCCUAGCCGGCCAUCAGUGGAAAGAGAGGCCCAUUGGUCGUGCAAACUCUAUAUGCCUCAGUACAGGGGAACGCCAGGGCCAAGAAGUGGGAGUGGGUGGGUAGGGGAGUGGGGGAAGGGUAUGGGGGACUUUUGGGAUAGCAUUGGAAAUGUAAAUGAGGAAAAUACCUAAUAAAAAUUUAAAAAAAAAAAGAAAAGAGGUAUAAAAACCAGUU